GGUCCCAUGGCGGAACAGGUAGACGCAGCAGACUUAAAAUCUGCCGUUCGUAAGGACAUGCCCGUUCGAUUCGGGCUGGGACCACCA
rnacentral:tRNA from 1 species